CUGAGAUGAAAUGAAUACUUGAGCUUCUUCAGUGAGAAAAAACACCUCUCCGAGCCAUGUGAGCCCCCUGAUGCCACCGAGCAGGGGCAGCUUCAUGACCGAUGUCUGGCUGAGGCUGUGGCGGACACUCUCGGGGUUGUCUGCAGGAGAGCAAGCCAGGAGGACAUGGGCCUGGACGACACGGCCUCGCAGCAAAGUGUGUCAGACGAGCAGUGACGGGCGUGCGGCCGGGCGGGGAGGCUGGCUCCCCCACACCUCCCACCUGCAUUGCUCUCCCUCGUGCUCCCCAAAUCACCACAACCAACCAAUACCGCGAUCCAUGAGGGACUCCUCCUGUGGAAAAGGAGAGCUGUUCCAGAACACAGAACUGAUCUCAGGUUUUU
rnacentral:lncRNA from 10 species